rnacentral:rRNA from 1 species
GGUGCUAGUGGCAGACGGGUGAGUAACACGUGGGAACGUACCUUUCGGUUCGGAAUAAUUCAGGGAAACUUGGACUAAUACCGGAUAAGCCCUUCGGGGGAAAGAUUUAUCGCCGAUAGAUCGGCCCGCGUCUGAUUAGCUAGUUGGUGAGGUAAUGGCUCACCAAGGCGACGAUCAGUAGCUGGUCUGAGAGGAUGAUCAGCCACAUUGGGACUGAGACACGGCCCAAACUCCUACGGGAGGCAGCAGUGGGGAAUAUUGGACAAUGGGCGCAAGCCUGAUCCAGCCAUGCCGCGUGAGUGAUGAAGGCCUUAGGGUUGUAAAGCUCUUUUGUCCGGGAAGAUAAUGACUGUACCGGAAGAAUAAGCCCCGGCUAACUUCGUGCCAGCAGCCGCGGUAAUACGAAGGGGGCUAGCGUUGCUCGGAAUCACUGGGCGUAAAGGGCGCGUAGGCGGACUCUUAAGUCGGGGGUGAAAGCCCAGGGCUCAACCCUGGAAUUGCCUUCGAUACUGAGAGUCUUGAGUUCGGAAGAGGUUGGUGGAACUGCGAGUGUAGAGGUGAAAUUCGUAGAUAUUCGCAAGAACACCAGUGGCGAAGGCGGCCAACUGGUCCGAUACUGACGCUGAGGCGCGAAAGCGUGGGGAGCAAACAGGAUUAGAUACCCUUGUAGUCCUA